CCGUCGUUCGCGACGACGGGGGAGGGGGGGAAACGGAGAGGAGGGAAUCGCAAUAUAAUAUUUUAACAAUAUAAUCGACGAGUGUACAUUAUGCGUACUAUAAAAUAAUUGUAUAAACAAACACAAUAUCAUACGACGCGGGAAAUAAAAAAAAAAAAUAACAAAUUGUAAAAAAAAAAAAAAAAAAACUAUAUAGAUCAUUGAUCGCGCGACCCCUUUAACCAUUGAUUCCGGAUAUUGUUUCGAUAAUCGGGAGCGCGCGCGAGCUCGAGGACUCGUUGAGUUUUAUUACGGUAUCGGUUUUUUUUUUUUUUUUUUUUUACAGAAGGGCAAAGAAGCGAGGCGAGUGACUAUAUUAUUUUUAUCGUAUAAAUAAUAUAUAAAAAAAAAAAAUACGCGGGCGAAAUGCGGUUAACAGGAAAAAAAAGCAAAAACAAAAACUUAAAAAAAAAAAAUGAAAUAAAAACACUGGUCGUACGCGCGCGUACAACACGAGCG